AGGCAUUUUAAAAAUUAUGUCAGAUCUUUCUCUUCCGUGCCAUGGCAAUGUUUCCGGAAGCUUCACUUUUAUUAAAAUGAGGGCAAGGGAGUAAACAAAUUAAUCUCGGAGCGGGAGCAGCCUGGAAGAUGAUGGAAGCCUUAAGGAUCCAGCAGCGUCUUUGCUGGGAAACCAGGAGGUUCAUUUGCUCACUUUCACCAGCCCUUGUUUCUGCUCACAACCUUCAGUGACUCACUAUCACCCUUGGACUGAAGCUCAGACUCCUCCCUGUGACAUUCUGGUCCCUCCAGGAUAUUACCACAACCCAUUUUUCCAGUCCAAGUGCCCACUGCUCUUUGCAGCUGCAAUCAGGUGCAUCUAAGAAGGUAUGAAGGUGAGAAGAAGGAGAAUAAAAGAAGAUGGGAAGAUAAGAAAGAAGGAAGAAAGGAGGGAGGAGGAGGAAACAAAUGUUAAGUACCAAAAUAUUCCAAAUUUGCUAAUCCUUUAUAUAACAAUGACAAUGGCAGUAGUUGCUCUCAUUUAUUGAGACCAGUCUGCCAGCCACUGGUUCAACACUACUUCAGCUGGUGUUGUUCCUAUAAAGGAGGCAUGGUGAUCUCCAUGCCACAGAGGGGGAACUGGGGCUCACUGUGUAGAACAAUUUGCUCCAGGUCAUGUAUGUCAUAAAUGAUAAAACCAGUCUGUUGGACAUCAAAGCCUAAAUUCUGAACUACUGCACUUCCCACCAACAGUAAACAUUGUCCCCAUUUUGCAGGUGAAGAUGAGGAGGUGCAGGGAGAUAGUGAUAUGCCCUGAGGUACUGGGGGUAAAAACCAAGCAGAAACCAGGAGCAUCAAAGUUCUGGGAAUCAGCUUUACUCCAUCUCUAUCAACACCUGCUCUGGAGAACACAGGAUCUUAACUUACAACUCUGCCUCAGCGUCCCAGAGUGCUGGGAUUAUAAUUAUGGGCCACCAUGCCUGGGUCACAUUCACUCUUUUAAAGCGUGCAGUUGGAUGGGUUGUGAAAGACACGUGUGCAGUAUCUCCACCUCUGCAAUCAAGAUGUGCAUUUCCAUUCACCACAGAAAGUUGCUUUGUGCCCCUUGGUGGAUUCCAUCUCCUAUCCCAGCUCCUGGCAUCCACUGAUGUGGUUUGGCCUUUUUCAGAUGCCAUUAAAUAGAAUCACCCAAUACUGAA
ensembl:lncRNA